CGGACGGGUGAGUAAUGUCUGGGAAACUGCCUGAUGGAGGGGGAUAACUACUGGAAACGGUAGCUAAUACCGCAUAACGUCGCAAGACCAAAGAGGGGGACCUUCGGGCCUCUUGCCAUCGGAUGUGCCCAGAUGGGAUUAGCUAGUAGGUGGGGUAACGGCUCACCUAGGCGACGACCCCUAGCUGGUCUGAGAGGAUGGCCAGCCACACUGGAACUGAGACACGGUCCAG
rnacentral:rRNA from 1 species